rnacentral:rRNA from 1 species
CCUACGGGAGGCAGCAGUGGGGAAUAUUGGACAAUGGGGGGAACCCUGAUCCAGCCAUGCCGCGUGUGUGAAGAAGGCCCUCGGGUUGUAAAGCACUUUCAGUGAGGAAGAACGCCUGGUGGUUAAUACCCAUCAGGAAAGACAUCACUCACAGAAGAAGCACCGGCUAACUCCGUGCCAGCAGCCGCGGUAAUACGGAGGGUGCGAGCGUUAAUCGGAAUUACUGGGCGUAAAGCGCGCGUAGGUGGCUUGAUAAGCCGGUUGUGAAAGCCCCGGGCUCAACCUGGGAACGGCAUCCGGAACUGUCAAGCUAGAGUGCAGGAGAGGAAGGUAGAAUUCCCGGUGUAGCGGUGAAAUGCGUAGAGAUCGGGAGGAAUACCAGUGGCGAAGGCGGCCUUCUGGACUGACACUGACACUGAGGUGCGAAAGCGUGGGUAGCAAACAGGAUUAGAUACCCUAAUAGUC